rnacentral:lncRNA from 1 species
CAAGUAGUUUAUUCCAAAUGACACUUGUGCAAAAAACAAAAAUAAAAUUGAACGAUUUUUUACAUAGACUGUUGCAGAAAGGUGCGCUGGUAGCUUAUCAUACCAGUUUUGUGAAAAGCACGUCAUUACCACGCCGCAUACAGGUUUUCAGUGUUCACACCUACCAGCAAGCAUUCAGUGUAUCGGCUGCGCCUAUAAGGAUUGUUUUCACCGCAACUUUGAUGACAAAAUAAGCGGUAAUAGCUUAUGGUAUAUAUAGCUACCAAAGAGCGUUAAAGGGUUAAGGGACAAAUUAAAAAUUAGUGUAAGAGGGACAGAAAGAGCCUCUGCACAACCUUUAAAAAUGUAUGCUGGUAUAUUGUCCUUACCUGUUUUUGGUUUUAGUCUUGAUGCUUUGGAGAACAUUCUCAACUGCUACUUUUGGAAAGUGAAAAGCCCCCUGAUUCAGUGUACUGUUAUAUUAGGAUUAUAGAAAAAUAAUUGCUAGAAUUCUGCUAAUAAUCUCGGUUCAAUAAGAAUAAAACUAUGAAAAAUCAAAUACACAAAUGACGUAAAUGACCCAUGGUCACAACAAUCAAAUAAAGAAUGCCUAAUACACCUCUUCUUACUUAAAAAUACAAAUCUGGGAUUCCCCUAACACCAUGUAAAUGUAUUCUCGGCUAGUAAGGAAUGUUCAAUAAAAAUAAAACUAUGAAAAAUCAAAUACACAAAUGACGUAAAUGACCCAUGGUCACAACAAUCAAAUGAAGAAUGCCUCCUCUUCCUACUUAAAAAUACAAAUCUGGGAUUCCUCUAACACCAUGCAAAUGUAUUCUCGGCUAGUAAGGAA